rnacentral:rRNA from 1 species
CCUACGGGAGGCAGCAGUGGGGAAUUUUGGACAAUGGGCGAAAGCCUGAUCCAGCCAUGCCGCGUGCAGGAUGAAGGCCUUCGGGUUGUAAACUGCUUUUGUACGGAACGAAACGGCCUUUUCUAAUAAAGAGGGCUAAUGACGGUACCGUAAGAAUAAGCACCGGCUAACUACGUGCCAGCAGCCGCGGUAAUACGUAGGGUGCAAGCGUUAAUCGGAAUUACUGGGCGUAAAGCGUGCGCAGGCGGUUAUGUAAGACAGUUGUGAAAUCCCCGGGCUCAACCUGGGAACUGCAUCUGUGACUGCAUAGCUAGAGUACGGUAGAGGGGGAUGGAAUUCCGCGUGUAGCAGUGAAAUGCGUAGAUAUGCGGAGGAACACCGAUGGCGAAGGCAAUCCCCUGGACCUGUACUGACGCUCAUGCACGAAAGCGUGGGGAGCAAACAGGAUUAGAUACCCUGGUAGUCCACGCCCUAAACGACGUCAACUGGUUGUUGGGUCUUCACUGACUCAGUAACGAAGCUAACGCGUGAAGUUGACCGCCUGGGGAGUACGGCCGCAAGGUUGAAACUUAAAUGAAUUGACGG